GUGAACAACCACCUCCAGCGUUCCCUUUCUCUAAAUCUCGCUAACCAACAGUAGCAGCAAAGACACGACAGAAACCCACUCACUAGCAGCUCCUCCUUACCGCCAGCGACCUGAAGCAGAGGGGAAGAAGGUGAAAUAAAAGAAAGAUCUGCUGUGAAAUAGUUCA